rnacentral:rRNA from 1 species
GACGAACGCUGGCGGCGUGCUUAACACAUGCAAGUCGAGCGGUAAGGCUCCUUCGGGAGUCCACGAGCGGCGAACGGGUGAGUAACACGUGAGUAAUCUGCCCUUCACUUCGGGAUAACCACCGGAAACGGUGGCUAAUACCGAAUACGACCAGUCUUCGCAUGAGGUGCUGGUGGAAAGUCUUUUCGGUGAAGGAUGUGCUCGCGGCCUAUCAGCUUGUUGGUGGGGUAAUGGCCUACCAAGGCUUCGACGGGUAGCCGGCCUGAGAGGGUGACCGGCCACACUGGGACUGAGACACGGCCCAGACGCCUACGGGAGGCAGCAGUGGGGAAUAUUGGACAAUGGGCGAAAGCCUGAUCCAGCAACGCCGCGUGAGGGAUGACGGCCUUCGGGUUGUAAACCUCUUUCAGUACCGACGAAGCGCCCUGUCGGGUGGUGACGGUAGGUACAGAAGAAGGACCGGCCAACUACGUG